rnacentral:rRNA from 1 species
GAGUGGCGAACGGGUGAGUAACACGUGGGUAACCUGCCCAUCAGAAGGGGAUAACACUUGGAAACAGGUGCUAAUACCGUAUAACAAUCGAAACCGCAUGGUUUUGAUUUGAAAGGCGCUUUCGGGUGUCGCUGAUGGAUGGACCCGCGGUGCAUUAGCUAGUUGGUGAGGUAACGGCUCACCAAGGCUACGAUGCAUAGCCGACCUGAGAGGGUGAUCGGCCACAUUGGGACUGAGACACGGCCCAAACUCCUACGGGAGGCAGCAGUAGGGAAUCUUCGGCAAUGGACGAAAGUCUGACCGAGCAACGCCGCGUGAGUGAAGAAGGUUUUCGGAUCGUAAAACUCUGUUGUUAGAGAAGAACAAGGAUGAGAGUAACUGUUCAUCCCUUGACGGUAUCUAACCAGAAAGCCACGGCUAACUACGUGCCAGCAGCCGCGGUAAUACGUAGGUGGCAAGCGUUGUCCGGAUUUAUUGGGCGUAAAGCGAGCGCAGGCGGUUUCUUAAGUCUGAUGUGAAAGCCCCCGGCUCAACC